AUGAUUAGGGUGAAGUCGUAACAAGGUAGCCGUAGGAGAACCUGCGGCUGGAUCACCUCCUUUCUAAGGAAUA
rnacentral:rRNA from 1 species